GCGGCUGUAGCUCAGCUGGUUAGAGUGCCAGGUUGUGGCCCUGGAGGUCGUGGGUUCGAGUCCCAUCAGCCGCCCCC
rnacentral:tRNA from 1 species